GACGAACGCUGGCGGCGUGCUUAACACAUGCAGGUCGAACGAAGAGCGACGGAAGCUUGCUUCUAUCAAUCUUAGUGGCGGACGGGUGAGUAACGAGUAAUCAACCUGCGCCUCAGAGGGGGACACCAGUUGGAAACGACAGCUCCUACUGCAUACGAUCUAAUCUCGGCAUCGUGUAUGGAUGACAGGUGGCCCCUGCAGGUAAGCUAUCACUGCAGGAGGGGGUUGCGGCUGUGUAGCUCGUUGUAGGGGUAUGGGCCCACCAAGGCGAGGGUCAGUGGCCGGACUGAGAGGAUGAACGGCCAGAUUGGGACUGUGACACGGCCCAGACUCAUACGGGAGGCAGCAGUGGGGAAGCUUCCGAAAUGGACGAGAGACUGUCGGAGCAACGCGGCGUGAGUAAGGACGGCCUUCGGGUUGGAGAGCUCUGUUAAUCGGGAGUAAAGGGCUUCUUGCGAAUAGGGAGAAUGAUUGACGGUACUGGAAUAGAAAGCCACGGCUAACUACGUG
rnacentral:rRNA from 1 species